GAAAGAAUUGGCAGACAAAAUACAUGCUGGUGACUCAGUGUGAGGUGUUCUCUCCUCCUUGGGGGGACGAAGCGGGAGCAGAGAACACUGAAGCCAGAGGCACUGACUUAAAAUGGAGCAUCUGAUCCUUAAAGAUCCCCUGGCCCAUGCCAGCCAUACUGCCCAGACUUGAAUUCUCUCCAGAGAAGUUUCUCAUCCAAGAUCCCCAGUAAAGAAAGUAAGCUACAUAAAAAGGAGUUUGCUUGGUGAGCAAUGGUGGAGUGAGGCUCAUGAUUUGAGUAUUUCAAGAUGUCAACUAAGGGCACCUCAACCAAAUGCACCUCAUGCCCACUGACUCAACAGGUCGAGACCUUAAGGAAAUGCGGCAUUCCAUUGCAUAAUGCUUCAAUAUGAGUUAACAAGACAAAUGAGCAGAGAAACUAUGACUCUCCAUGCUGCAGAAGGAAAAUGCUCCUAGCGAACAUCUGCUUUGGGACCAAGGACAGAACCCAGAGGGCUAACAAAGAAGCACCAUGGAGUUGGUACACAGACCUCUGAGAACGGAUCCUAAAUGGCUAUCGCUGCUACCUGGCAUCUCACCAGAGAACUGGUUCUGGAAGCUCUCAAGGAAGGUUGAAGCUUUUAACUGCUACUGACCAAUACAGGAAAAACAGAAAUGUAUGGAGUCUCACUAUGUCACCCAGGCUGGAGUGCAGUGGCGUGAUCUCGGCUCACUGAAACCUCCACCGCCCAGGUUCAAGCAAUCCUCCUGUCUCAGCCUCCUGAGUAGCUGCAACUACAGGCACCUGCCACCAUGCCUGGCUAAUUUUUGUAUUUUUAGUAGAGACAGGGUUUCUCCAUGUUGGCCAGGCUGGUCUCAAACUCCUGACCUCAGGUGAUCCACCCACCUCGGCCUCCUAAAGUGCUGGGAUUUCAGGCGUGAGCCACUGCCUUCAGCUGGAAAUAGCAUUUACUUUAGAGUGUGAUUGUAAAGAUUAGUGUGAUAAUAUGUACAGAACAUCUUAUAUUCAUGGAGGGCACACAUUUGUUCAAUGAAUUGUACUGAUGAGAUCACAAAUCACAUUUCCUCACCCUUCAACCACUGCGCAUCCAAUAUCAUU
rnacentral:lncRNA from 10 species